UCCCUCGGAGGGAAGUACUUUGUUACCCUGCUUGAUCAUUUUAACUGGGCUACCUUGUCUAUUUGAACAUAUGCAGGAAUGUAGUCUACCCUCCCCCAGGAGGACCAAAGAGUGGACCAGAACUGCCAGCACAUUUAUUGCCAUUUGCAAAGUCUCGCCCUACACAGUAGCACCUCCAUAAGAAAGGUCAGGGUUGGACAUCUCUGACAUACACACUGUGCUGGCAGCCAGGAAAUGCUGAGUCAGACUGAUGUACUGCUAACUUACACAGGGAUGCUAAUUAAUCCACACAGAGCUUUUUCCCACACACAACCCCUACCCUUAGGCCAGCUUGGAGGAGUACACUCACAUACGGAGGUGGCAUUUGUUCAGAAUACUAAGUAGGAAAAUUACAGCUGCUGACUAUAAGAAACAGAGUAGAGAAACAGAAGCUCAGUGGUGUGAGCAAGUGCUUUACCCAGGAAAAACAACAUGGUCAAAAGAGGAAUCAUAUGCAGGCUGGUGGAAUGGCCCAAUGGGUAAAAGCACUUGUCCAGCAAGCCUGCUGACGUGAGGUCAGUCCCCAGGAGACGUGAAAAGCCAGAUGUGGUACACGCAACUAUAAUCCCAGCACUCCCACUUCAAAAUAGGAGACAGAAAGAGGAGAAUCUCUUGGAAGCUCAUCACAGGUCAGACAGCCUGGAGUCCACGGGAUGGCAGAGACAACAGAGACCUUGCCUCAACAAGGUAAAAGGAGAGGAAUGACUCCAAAGGUUGCACUCUGACCUGCACACAUAGACAUGGUACAUGUAUACACACAUACAGUAAUAAAACACAUAAACUUUAGAAGAAAGA